CGAGAUCUGACGUGCCGUUUCCGAGGAUGGAAAAUACACAAGUCCCCAGCUGUUACACCCCAUGAGGUGGGAGUUCCUUUGAGCUUCUUAAACAAAAAGAGUAACAUUGAAGACCUAAACCUAGAGACCUAGGGACCAAAAAAAAAAGAGCUACAGCGGCUGAUAAUGCAAAAUCAGACCCCAAUGAGCUUCUUCUUUAUGAAGCUCUAACACAACCGAGACCAAUACUAUCCAUGAGGCCCUGUUUUACAUCAGCAAAAGAGACUCCCCUGUAUUUCAUCUUCUGGACCUCAUCUUCUUCCUCAUGAACCUAGACACACACCCAUAGCAACCAUCACCUUGAAUCUCCAAAAAACCAACAGGCCUGACCCUCAAUCUGUUCUCGAUCUACUCCAGAACCCUAGAGCAGAUGCAUUGUUGCCCUUUAUAGCAUCCUAACAACACCAGUACAAACAACUCCAGCCGUACCUCUUCAUCACCCAGCUCGCCGGAAAACACACAGAGAGCGAGCAGAAAAUAAUGAUAACUAAAUCUAAUAAAGUGAAGCUCCAUCUUCUUUCAACCUAAGAAAAAUCAACACCCAGCAAUAGCCAUGAAAUCUGUCCGAAAAUUAACCCCAAUAACCAGUGAAAAGCAGCCACAGUAGCUCGUUUUCAGUUUAUCUGCCGCAGAGUUUCCGGCGAGCUAGAGGAGCGUUGAGUUCCGACGAGAUUAGAGUGUCGUCCGACGAGAUUUUGCUUCAUCGAGGUCCUGUACUGGUUUCUUGUUUGCUCAAAUGUAAAAUUCUUCCUAAGGAGCUGCUUCUUGUCAUGUCGUGGUGUUCUAGCAGCAAGUUCAGGUUGAUUGAUUAUCGUGUAUUGAGCAGUUUUCAAAGAGUAAAAUGCAUUGUUGAAUUAGCUGUUUGAUGCAGAGAUUGAAUGGUGCGUUCAUUGCUCUUAUAUCGUCGUAAUGCACAUGUGGUCUCAAG
rnacentral:lncRNA from 1 species